GCUCAGGAUGAACGCUGGCGGCGUGCCUAAUACAUGCAAGUCGAACGAGUUCUGAUUAUUGAAAGGUGCUUGCAUCUUGAUUUUAAUUUUGAACGAGUGGCGGACGGGUGAGUAACACGUGGGUAACCUGCCCUUAAGUGGGGGAUAACAUUUGGAAACAGAUGCUAAUACCGCAUAAAUCCAAGAACCGCAUGGUUCUUGGCUGAAAGAUGGCGUAAGCUAUCGCUUUUGGAUGGACCCGCGGCGUAUUAGCUAGUUGGUGAGGUAACGGCUCACCAAGGCAAUGAUACGUAGCCGAACUGAGAGGUUGAUCGGCCACAUUGGGACUGAGACACGGCCCAAACUCCUACGGGAGGCAGCAGUAGGGAAUCUUCCACAAUGGACGCAAGUCUGAUGGAGCAACGCCGCGUGAGUGAAGAAGGCUUUCGGGUCGUAAAACUCUGUUGUUGGAGAAGAAUGGUCGGCAGAGUAACUGUUGUCGGCGUGACGGUAUCCAACCAGAAAGCCACGGCUAACUACGUGCCAGCAGCCGCGGUAAUACGUAGGUGGCAAGCGUUAUCCGGAUUUAUUGGGCGUAAAGCGAGCGCAGGCGGUUUUUUAAGUCUGAUGUGAAAGCCCUCGGCUUAACCGAGGAAGUGCAUCGGAAACUGGGAAACUUGAGUGCAGAAGAGGACAGUGGAACUCCAUGUGUAGCGGUGAAAUGCGUAGAUAUAUGGAAGAACACCAGUGGCGAAGGCGGCUGUCUGGUCUGUAACUGACGCUGAGGCUCGAAAGCAUGGGUAGCGAACAGGAUUAGAUACCCUGGUAGUCCAUGCCGUAAACGAUGAAUGCUAGGUGUUGGAGGGUUUCCGCCCUUCAGUGCCGCAGCUAACGCAUUAAGCAUUCCGCCUGGGGAGUACGACCGCAAGGUUGAAACUCAAAGGAAUUGACGGGGGCCCGCACAAGCGGUGGAGCAUGUGGUUUAAUUUGAAGCAACGCGAAGAACCUUACCAGGUCUUGACAUCUUUUGAUCACCUGAGAGAUCAGGUUUCCCCUUCGGGGGCAAAAUGACAGGUGGUGCAUGGUUGUCGUCAGCUCGUGUCGUGAGAUGUUGGGUUAAGUCCCGCAACGAGCGCAACCCUUAUGACUAGUUGCCAGCAUUUAGUUGGGCACUCUAGUAAGACUGCCGGUGACAAACCGGAGGAAGGUGGGGAUGACGUCAAAUCAUCAUGCCCCUUAUGACCUGGGCUACACACGUGCUACAAUGGAUGGUACAACGAGUUGCGAGACCGCGAGGUCAAGCUAAUCUCUUAAAGCCAUUCUCAGUUCGGACUGUAGGCUGCAACUCGCCUACACGAAGUCGGAAUCGCUAGUAAUCGCGGAUCAGCACGCCGCGGUGAAUACGUUCCCGGGCCUUGUACACACCGCCCGUCACACCAUGAGAGUUUGUAACACCCGAAGCCGGUGGCGUAACCCUUUUAGGGAGCGAGCCGUCUAAGGUGGGACAAAUGA
rnacentral:rRNA from 1 species